AUACGGAGGGAGCAAGCGUUAUUCGGAAUCACUGGGCGUAAAGGACGCGUAGGCGGGUUUGUAAGUCAGGUGUGAAAUCCUACAGCUCAACUGUAGAACUGCACUUGAAACUACAGACCUAGAGUAUGGAAGGGGCAGAUGGAAUUAGUGGUGUAGGGGUAAAAUCCGUAGAUAUCACUAGGAAUACCGAAAGCGAAGGCGAUCUGCUGGGACAUUACUGACGCUGAGGCGUGAAAGCGUGGGGAGUAAACAGGAUUAGAAACCCUAGUAGUCC
rnacentral:rRNA from 1 species